ACGAACGCUGGCGGCGUGCCUAAUACAUGCAAGUCGAACGCUUCUUUUUCCACCGGAGCUUGCUCCACCGGAAAAAGAGGAGUGGCGAACGGGUGAGUAACACGUGGGUAACCUGCCCAUCAGAAGGGGAUAACACUUGGAAACAGGUGCUAAUACCGUAUAACAAUCGAAACCGCAUGGUUUUGAUUUGAAAGGCGCUUUCGGGUGUCGCUGAUGGAUGGACCCGCGGUGCAUUAGCUAGUUGGUGAGGUAACGGCUCACCAAGGCGACGAUGCAUAGCCGACCUGAGAGGGUGAUCGGCCACAUUGGGACUGAGACACGGCCCAAACUCCUACGGGAGGCAGCAGUAGGGAAUCUUCGGCAAUGGACGAAAGUCUGACCGAGCAACGCCGCGUGAGUGAAGAAGGUUUUCGGAUCGUAAAACUCUGUUGUUAGAGAAGAACAAGGAUGAGAGUAACUGUUCAUCCCUUGACGGUAUCUAACCAGAAAGCCACGGCUAACUACGUGCCAGCAGCCGCGGUAAUACGUAGGUGGCAAGCGUUGUCCGGAUUUAUUGGGCGUAAAGCGAGCGCAGGCGGUUUCUUAAGUCUGAUGUGAAAGCCCCCGGCUCAACCGGGGAGGGUCAUUGGAAACUGGGAGACUUGAGUGCAGAAGAGGAGAGUGGAAUUCCAUGUGUAGCGGUGAAAUGCGUAGAUAUAUGGAGGAACACCAGUGGCGAAGGCGGCUCUCUGGUCUGUAACUGACGCUGAGGCUCGAAAGCGUGGGGAGCAAACAGGAUUAGAUACCCUGGUAGUCCACGCCGUAAACGAUGAGUGCUAAGUGUUGGAGGGUUUCCGCCCUUCAGUGCUGCAGCUAACGCAUUAAGCACUCCGCCUGGGGAGUACGACCGCAAGGUUGAAACUCAAAGGAAUUGACGGGGGCCCGCACAAGCGGUGGAGCAUGUGGUUUAAUUCGAAGCAACGCGAAGAACCUUACCAGGUCUUGACAUCCUUUGACCACUCUAGAGAUAGAGCUUCCCCUUCGGGGGCAAAGUGACAGGUGGUGCAUGGUUGUCGUCAGCUCGUGUCGUGAGAUGUUGGGUUAAGUCCCGCAACGAGCGCAACCCUUAUUGUUAGUUGCCAUCAUUUAGUUGGGCACUCUAGCAAGACUGCCGGUGACAAACCGGAGGAAGGUGGGGAUGACGUCAAAUCAUCAUGCCCCUUAUGACCUGGGCUACACACGUGCUACAAUGGGAAGUACAACGAGUCGCAAAGUCGCGAGGCUAAGCUAAUCUCUUAAAGCUUCUCUCAGUUCGGAUUGUAGGCUGCAACUCGCCUACAUGAAGCCGGAAUCGCUAGUAAUCGCGGAUCAGCACGCCGCGGUGAAUACGUUCCCGGGCCUUGUACACACCGCCCGUCACACCAUGGGAGUCAGUAACGCCCGAAGUCAGUGACCCAACCGUAAGGAGGGAGCUGCCGAAGGUGGGACCGAUAACUGGGGUG
rnacentral:rRNA from 1 species